rnacentral:rRNA from 1 species
AACGAACGCUGGCGGCAUGCCUAACACAUGCAAGUCGAACGAGACCUUCGGGUCUAGUUGCGCACGGGUGCGUAACGCGUGGGAACCUGCCCUUAGGUUCGGAAUAGCUCCCCGAAAGGGGUGCUAAUACCGGAUAAUGUCUUCGGACCAAAGAUUUAUCGCCUUUGGAUGGGCCCGCGUUGGAUUAGCUGUUUGGUAGGGUAAAAGCCUACCAAGGCGAGGAUCCAUAGCUGGGCUGAGAGGCUGAUCAGCCACACUGGGACUGAGCAACGGCCCAGAAUACUACGGGAGGCAGCAGUGGGGAAUAUUGGAAAAUGGGCGAAAGGCUGAACCAGCAAUGCUGGGUGAGUGAUGAAGGCCUUAGGGUUGUAAAGCUCUUUUACCCGGGAUGAUAAUGACAGUACCGGGAGAAUAAGCUCCGGCUAACUCCGUG